ACCACGGACUCACGCAGGCGCGUUCCAUCGCUCGUUCAGUAAACCUGCUGAACCUAGCGCUGUUAGACCCUGAGACCUCAGAAGAAAACACGUAGUUUCUGUUCUCGAGGGUAGGGUCCGAGCCUGAACCGUGCACGAAACCAGAAACAUACGAAGAAAGUUAAGCUAAAGCUUGGGAGCCACUGCAGGGAAAAAUUAAUCAAGUGACAGACAACAGUAAAGAAGAAGGACUUGAUUUUCAAAAAUGAUUCUCCGUGGUUCCACAGAAUGGUGUGCCGUGCCAGGUCAGGCCCACUUUAUUCCUGGUAAGUUGUCCGUGGAUUUUAGGUCAGACUAUGACUGAAUAUGAAUGGCUGCUGGAGUCAUCCAAGCUGGGUUGGGCUGCAGGCUGGGCUGGAGGGAUGUCCCCCACCCCGGGCACUCACCUGUGACUUUGGCCUUGAAGGGGCUGCCCACGAUGUGCUGGGGGCCACCGUACUUGAUGGCAAUGAGGUAGUUGCCAGGAGCCAUGGGAGUGUAAGUGACAACAUGGCCCUCAGGACACUCCCGACAGUCCAGCUGCACCUUGGAGGGGCCAUCGAUGGUGACAGACAAGGCCCCUGAGCCCGCAUUCAGGGUGUUGACAAUGAACUCUGAUGACACACCUAGGGACCAGAGGUAGCAAGGCGGUAGGUUGGGCCCUAGGCUCCGAGAACAGACCUCUGCAAGGACUCAGCCCUCUGGGACAGGGCAGUACAGGACCAGAAGCUGAGUGCCCCAAUAUCGGACCCUCCUCCCUAGCCCCAGGCACUCACCAGUAGUGCCUCCCUCAAGUCCAGGACCAUAAGCUGACACCAAGCCUGGGUCCCCAGCCUGGCUCUGUUCCCCAACGCGGAUCUUGAAGGGACUGCCAGGGAUGUGGGCACCGUUGAACUUGACAUCAAUAGAGUGGACGCCGUUCUCGUGGGGGAUGAAGCGGAUGGUGUGCUUGUCUGUGGGGCGGAGGGUUGGUCAGUGCCCAGAGGCCCAGAGGAGGAAGGGUGUGGCCUAGACUGCCCUGGGGAGGCUCCCUGGAGGAGGUGAGUCACUGGGGAGGACUUGAAGAAGCACAAGGAGGCCAAUUGGGGGUGGGAGUGUGAGAAGAUGAUCCUGGGGUGAGGCAUGGCGCCCCCUGCUAUACGGAUACUGGGAAAGAGGGAGAGACAUCUGCCUGACUGUCUCUUCCAAGGUCACUGCUAAGCCCUGGACACAUGGACCUGCCUUCACCUCCUGCCUAUCUCUCAGGAUGGCAGAGGGGCCCCACCCCAUGGCAGAUACCUGGAG